CCUACGGGAGGCAGCAGUGAGGAAUAUUGGUCAAUGGCCGCAAGGCUGAACCAGCCAAGUCGCGUGAAGGAUGACGGCGCUAUGGAUUGUAAACUUCUUUUGUCAAGGGAUAAACUGAGGCACGUGUGCCUGAUUGCGGGUACCUGAUGAAUAAGCAUCGGCUAACUCCGUGCCAGCAGCCGCGGUAAUACGGAGGAUCCGAGCGUUAUCCGGAUUUAUUGGGUUUAAAGGGAGCGUAGGCGGCACGUUAAGUCAGUUGUUAAAGGCCGCGGCUCAACCGUGGCCUUGCCGUUGAAACUGGCUGUCUUGAGAGGACGGGAGGUAGGCGGAAUGCGCGGUGUAGCGGUGAAAUGCUUAGAUAUUACGAAGAACUCCGAUUGCGAAGGCAGCAUACCGUCGGCGCACUGACGCUGAGGCACGAAGGUGUGGGUAUCGAACAGGAUUAGAUACCCCGGUAGUC
rnacentral:rRNA from 1 species